GAACAUUAACUGAAUGGGGGAAAGAGUUGAUAACAAGAUGUGUGCAGGUUGUAGAACACAAUGGCUUGAAAGGUAUGAGAGAUGCAUAGAUUAAAAAGUAUCGAAAAACAUCUAAUUGUCUCAAAGAAUAAUUUCCUCAUUCAUUCUGAGCAGCUAUUCUGAAAUGUCACCAGAAUAGAAAUGACAUAGUUCAAUUUAUCAAUGGAAAAUCAAGUAUGAAACAACAAUGUGCAUCCCACACCAAAAUGAAGGUAGAAACAUGCCCAGAACAGCUGAAUAAGGAUUGACCACACUUUGUGGGUGUGAAAUGCUAACUGAUGGAAAUGCUAACUAUAGGAAAACUGUGGUUAUAACCCCGUUUUGACAACCAAAGUUGCCCUUUAUAAAGCAUCUAAAAGGAGAUUAGAGUAUAUUGAAUAGAUUAGUAUGCAGUGUAAGGGGGACAAGGACAUCUAAUGUCUGUACUUAAGAUUAAGGUAUAUUUGGUUACAAGUUGGCCACCCCCACUUUCUCUCUGUACUUGUACUUGUAUAUUUAUUGUUUCUGACUCUUUGUGACCUCAUGGACCAGUCCACACCAGAACUCCCUAUUGGCCAUCGCCACUCCCAGCUCCUUCAAGGUCAAGCCAGUCACUUCAAGGAUACCAUCCAUCCACCUUGCCCUUGGUUGGUCCCUCUUCCCUUUUCCUUCCUUUUUCCCCAGCAUCAUUCUCUUCUCCAAGCUUUCCUGUCUUCUCAUUAUGUGGCCAACAUACUUCAUCUUUGUCUCUAACAUCCUUCCUUUCAGUGGGCAGUUGGGCAUUAUUUCCUGGAGUAUGGACUGGUGCGUUGUGUUUAUAUUGUGUGUUAGGAAAAGGCCAAUUGGCUAAUCAAUAAAAAUUGUUUAUCAUUAUAGGAAAACUGGGAAAAUAUGAUAUCAUUAUGUGUGUGAAACUAAACAGAAGUACUUCAUGCUUCAGCAUUUUGUUGCAAGACUCCAUUUGCAACUUCAGCUGAGAUUUCCAACUUGCCAUUGUGGUAGAGUCCUUCAGCAGACCUGGCAAGUCCACCGUUAGACUGACCAUAAGGCAGAGAAGCAACCAGGCAUGGAUAGAAUUCAAGAAAAAUCAGUCCAGAAGAGACCCAGGGCACAUCUACAGUGACUGUUGAAUGCAGCUUGAAGCCGACAUCAAAUGGCAGUAGCUACAAAAAUACAUCCCACCAAAGCUUGCUCAAAGUGCAUCAAGCAGAGUUGGGGAAAGUCUGAGUUAAGCCACUUAAUGCGCUUCAGCAAGACCUAAAUCUAAACCACACUGCAUGACAAAAUUGGCUGUGCCGUUUGAGGCACAAUAAACACUUUUAACUGGAUUUGAAAUAAA